GAUGAACGCUGGCGGCGUGCCUAAUACAUGCAAGUCGAGCGAACAGACGAGGAGCUUGCUCCUCUGACGUUAGCGGCGGACGGGUGAGUAACACGUGGAUAACCUACCUAUAAGACUGGGAUAACUUCGGGAAACCGGAGCUAAUACCGGAUAACAUGUUGAACCGCAUGGUUCAACAGUGAAAGACGGUUUUGCUGUCACUUAUAGAUGGAUCCGGGUCGCAUUAGCUAGUUGGUAAGGUAACGGCUUACCAAGGCUACGAUGCGUAGCCGACCUGAGAGGGUGAUCGGCCACACUGGAACUGAGACACGGUCCAGACUCCUACGGGAGGCAGCAGUAGGGAAUCUGCCGCAAUGGGCGAAAGCCUGACGGAGCAACGCCGCGUGAGUGAAGAAGGUCUUCGGAUCGUAAAACGCUGUUAUUAGGGAAGAACAGAUGUGUAAGUAACUAUGCACGUCUUGACGGUACCGAAUCAGAAAGCAACGGCUAACUACGUG
rnacentral:rRNA from 1 species